GCAGCAGCCGCGGGAAUACGAAGGGUGCAAGCGUUAAUCGGAAUUACUGGGCGUAAAGCGUGCGUAGGCGGUUUGUUAAGUCUGUUGUGAAAUCCCCGGGCUCAACCUGGGAAUGGCAAUGGAUACUGGCAAGCUAGAGUGUGUCAGAGGAUGGUGGAAUUCCCGGUGUAGCGGUGAAAUGCGUAGAGAUCUGGAGGAAUACCGGUGGCGAAGGCGGCCCCCUGGACAAAGACUGACGCUCAGGUGCGAAAGCGUGGGGAGCAAACAGGAUUAGAUACCCGGGUAGUCCCUGUCUCUUAUAA
rnacentral:rRNA from 1 species